UAACUUAGUGUUCUUCUUGGGAAUUUAGACGUAUUAAUUUACUAGGGCACUAGGGCUGCCACAACAAAGUACACAGACGGGGUGGCUUGAGCAACAGCAAAAUAUUUUCUCACAAUGCCGGAGGCUAGAAGUCCCAGAUCCAGAACUGUUCUCCUUUUAGUGUGCUCUAUGAAUCAUGCCUGAGGAUAUAUCAGAUGCCGGGAAUGGAAAUCGUUUUUGGUGGAACCCAUUUUCAGGAUUAGGGCAACAAAUAGCUUCCAGAGCUAUGUCUGGAACAUUCUCCACUUCUAAGAAAUCUUACUGAAAACCUAGAGAUUAAUCUCAGGUUCAGAAUGACUAAAUACUAUAUGGAUGGUAGCCUUAGAUGAAUUAUCUUACCAAGUCUCAUUGCUUUUGGCUUCUUAAUAUAUUAGGUUGUAUUACUGUAUAUAUUGCUUUAUAAGCAUUCCUAAGCAGGUUUAUGUGCUUUUUUUAUAAACAAUUUUAAGGUAGGAUCGAUUAAUUCCUAGGUUUUUCUUUUUUCCCCACUAAAGCAUGUGACAAGGGGAAGUGCAGCAGGGAAUAUAAAGAAAGUGGGCUGUGAGUACCACAUCCUCAAAUUAUCAGGGAUGUGACCACAGCAAUUCAUAUAGCCAUGAACUUGUGAUUCCUCAUCAAAAAAUGGGAUGUUGACUAAAAGAAUUCACAGGAUUUUUACUUCUUUGUAAUCUAAUCAUUUGUAAUCUAAUGAGUCGCAGUAGAUGCAAGAGAUCUAUAUGGUACAAGGACUAUACAAAUGUAAGUUCCUAUGUGAAAACAAAACCUUAAAUGUUUCAGCCUGAAAACUGUGUGUUUUGGGAGGGGGGUGCUCAAAUAUGUCACAUUCCAAAGCAUCCUUUGAAGUCUGGUGUGUCCAUAAAAAUGAGUUAUGACCAACGGGAUGGGCCAAAAGGACACAGAGUACCUUCAGGUCUAACUGAUAAGAAAUAUCCCAUACAUGUCUCUCUGUCUCCAGGUCAGCUAUGUAUUGAAAAAAAUGGUAGAGCCUUCAAUAGGUUGGGUACCUGAAUAACUUCAUGGAACAGAGUCCUCAUCCUCUCCUGCUACCAACUGACUUUAUAUAAGUGGGAAUUAAAUCUCUACUGUGUUAAUGCA